rnacentral:lncRNA from 1 species
GAUUUUUCAUCUACAGUAAGAUAAAGACACUGAGGCCCAGAGAAGUUAAAUACUUUUUCAAAGUUUCAGUUACUUGGCAGCAGAACUAGGCUUUAAACAUCGAAUACUGACUUCAGAGCCCAUGCUUUAAGCGAGGAUGCUAUUCUGCCUCAAACUCUGGGACUACAUUAUAUAGCAGGGGCCAGCAAAUGUGUUCUGUGAAAGGCCAGAUAGUAAAUAUUUUAGGUUUUGUGGGCCAUAAAAUCUCUGCCAUUAUAGCAUGAAAACCAUAGACAAACUGUAAAUGAAUAGACGUGGCUAUGUUCCAA